GACAGAGGUGCCGAGCGUUAGGCGGAAUCACUGGGCUUAAAGCGUGUGUAGGCGGAUUCCUAAGUACCUUGUGAAAUCCCAUGGCUCAACCAUGGAACUGCUUGGUAUACUGGGCGUCUUGAGCCAGCUAGGGGCUACCGGAACAAAUGGUGGAGCGGUGAAAUGCGUAGAUAUCAUUUGGAACGCCAAUGGUGAAAACAGGUAGCUGGGGCUGUGCUGACGCUGAGACACGAAAGCCAGGGGAGCGAACGGG
rnacentral:rRNA from 1 species